AAACAAGUACACUUUUAAGGAUCUCAUAAAGUGGGAUCAUAUGUUGCUUUAUACUUCGAGUCAAUAAAUUUGGAUUCCUAGAAGCAAUUAUAGAAAUUCCCAAUCUUGAAACCCCUAUAGAUCGCAGAAACUCAAAUUUGGGCAAGAGCGUCUUUUCUGGUUGAGAUAACAGCACCUGUGGGCGACACUCAACAAUUUUGCGGAUUUGGGAAUUGGUGAAUCCAUGUUCGCUGAGAAGCCUAAGUACAGAGUCUGGUUUUUCAGUGG
rnacentral:misc_RNA from 1 species